rnacentral:rRNA from 1 species
UCGCCGUUUAAAGUGGUACGCGAGCUGGGUUUAGAACGUCGUGAGACAGUUCGGUCCCUAUCUGCCGUGGGCGCUGGAGAAUUGAGGGGGGUUGCUCCUAGUACGAGAGGACCGGAGUGAACGCACCGCUGGUGUUCGGGUUGUCAUGCCAAUGGCACUGCCCGGUAGCUAAGUGCGGAAGAGAUAAGUGCUGAAAGCAUCUAAGCACGAAACUUGCCCCGAGAUGAGUUCUCCCUGACCCUUUAAGGGUCCUGAAGGGACGUUGAAGACGACGACGUUGAUAGGCCGGGUGUGUAAGCGCAGCGAUGCGUUGAGCUAACCGGUACUAAUGACCCGUGAGGCUUAACCUUACAACGCCAGAGGCGUUUUG